rnacentral:lncRNA from 1 species
CCACCGUAGCCCCACCACCGCCGAAGCCGCCGCCGUAUCCGCCGCCGAACCCGCCCCUCCGUAUCCACCGCCUCCCCCGUAGCCCAGUCCUCCUAGGUCCAGACCAUAACCCCCACCGUAGCCGCCGCCGAGCCCCAUGUCGCCGUGGUGGAACCACCACUUCUGCUCCUCCAGGGCUCCAUUGCGUUUGGGCAGCACCCUUGCGCCCUCAGUGAAGACGAGCGAAAGGAGGAGCUGGAUGAGCAGGAGGGAGCAGAGCUUCCUCGCCAUUGAGCACGACAGGCAGGAGGAAGCGCUUCUUCUCCGUGG